GCUUGAGUAGUAUGAGUUGUGUUCUUUAAACUUAAAGAAUUUGGCGGUGUUUUAGUCUUUUCAGAGGAACCUGUCCCAUAAUCGAUAAUCCACGUAAUAUCUUACUUAAUUUUGUUUUCAAUUUGUAUACCGCCGUCGUCAGAAUGUCUUUGGAGAGAUUUAAUUUUCUAAAAUUUUUAUUAAAAAUGAUGUCAGGUCAAGGUGCAGUUUAUGGUUAAGUGGAGAUGGGUUACAAUAAAUUUAUUUAUACGGAAUAACUGGUUGAAAAUCUGUUAUGAAGGUGGAUUUGAUAGUAAUUUAAUUUAUAAAGUUUAUUUGACUUUAGCUCUAAAACAUGCACACAUCGCCCGUCGCUCUUA
rnacentral:rRNA from 1 species